AUUGAACGCUGGCGGCAUGCUUUACACAUGCAAGUCGAACGGCAGCGCGGGCUUCGGCCUGGCGGCGAGUGGCGAACGGGUGAGUAAUACAUCGGAACGUGUCCAGUAGUGGGGGAUAGCUCGGCGAAAGCCGGAUUAAUACCGCAUACGACCUGAGGGUGAAAGCGGGGGAUCUUCGGACCUCGCGCUAUUGGAGCGGCCGAUGGCAGAUUAGCUAGUUGGUGGGGUAAAGGCCUACCAAGGCGACGAUCUGUAGCUGGUCUGAGAGGACGACCAGCCACACUGGGACUGAGACACGGCCCAGACUCCUACGGGAGACAGCAGUGGGGAAUUUUGGACAAUGGGCGAAAGCCUGAUCCAGCAAUGCCGCGUGUGUGAUGAAGGCCUUCGGGUUGUAAAGCACUUUUGGCGGGAACGAAAAGGACUGUGCCAAUACCACGGUUCGAUGACGGUACCCGCAGAAUAAGCACCGGCUAACUACGUG
rnacentral:rRNA from 1 species